UCGUUAUUUAAUUUUAAUACAUUAAUAUCGGAAAUGAAAUUGUAAUUACACUUUGAUAUUUUGAAGAUGAAUUUUACCUUUAGCUAAUAAGAAUCGUGCAGAAAUAUAGAUACACGGAGGUGCAUAAAAUGAAAGAAUGUCACGUAGCCGAUGCGAUUCCAUGAAAUUCACUUUCACGGCACAUACUUAAGAAACGGAACAAGCGGUGGUAUGACAACCUGAGAAUGAUGAAACGAACGCUUCUUACGUAUAUGAUAAAACGCCGUUAUCUUUAUUACAGUUUUUAUACAUGACUUUAUGUUCGUAUAGUACCCGUUCAUCUAAAUUAAUCCAUACCUAUAGAAAGACGCCAACAAAUUCAAUUAAACAUUUAAAAAACAGUUGACGAAUACAGGAAAAAAUACGUGUAACUCCUUUUCACAAAUUUACAGAUAUAGCUAUAUAAGUAAAUAUUAUUUUGAAUACUAGUUUCACGAUUAAUGGCUAAAAGUCGAGGAAAUGUGUUAUAUAAAUAAAAUUUCUCGAGUUAUAAAAAUCUCGAAGUAGCAAAAAUCAGAGAAUCAAAAUGAGAAUCUUACCUAAGCUUAAGCACUGUGAGUAUUUUGCAACUACGAUGUUGCAAAUUAUACGAAACUGAUUCUUAAACUUUGAAACGUGUUUAAAAAUGAGGCGUAAUUCGUAGUAGUAUUGACCAAACUAAAAUAAUUUUCUGCGUGACUGUGCAAAUUGUACUGUACGUCGCUGUUCCGGAAACAUUCGCUUGUGAUUACGAAAUUUACUGGGAAUUUCACGGUUAACAGCCGUUCUUCGAAGGUUACCGUUUAAGGAGUAACACGUAUCUUCCUAUGGAAAUUCAAGACUUACGAUAUUUUCUUCUCUGUCAUUCAGUCGUGUCUUUUUUCCGCAACUUGUAAAUCUCUUAUUGUUUUGUACAAUAUCUGAGUAAUCAAUAGCGAAUUUAAGUCUAUAUAAUAGACGACUGCGUUCCAUUUUGUGAAAGGUAUAAUUCAAUAUCUACGUGUCGAGUAAAAAAAUCAGUAGGUUUUUAAUGCAAUGUGACGAUCAGAAAUGAUGAAAUUUUCAUGAAACGACAAAUAUUUUGUUAGAAACCUAGCCAGUUAGAAAUAAUUAUUUUGGUAUUUAACUUGGAUUUAUUAGUGUAAUGAAAGAGCAGGAAUGGCUGGGUUAUAAAAAAAAAGACAAGAGUGGUUCCACUAUAAAUAGUUCCAGUGUCUAGUGGGCUAAGGAUCAAAAAGUUACACAUGAACAACUUUACCAAUCUAAAAUCACUUUUUAAACAUCUGAUAUUUACUAGUUUAAAACUAGUUUUAAAGUACGCUCUAUUAACUCUUUAUAGUCGAAUGUUAGAAGUUAAGCGCAAUUUUUUGUCUGGAAAGUAUGACGGAUAUUAAUUGACAUAAAUAGCAAGUAACGAUAUAAUGGUAGGAUGUAAUAAGAAGAGAGAUAAGAUUCAUACAAUGUUGAUAUACAGAUAUAAAACUUGAAGUUGUAUGACAUCAGAUACGAUUAAGAAUGAAACAUUGUAAAUAACUAAUCGAACUGGGUGGGUCGUACUUGAUGAUACAAAUAAAAAGGAAAUUUCUAUGAAAGUCUCAAGAAGCAUUAUCUUGAGAGUUUAUUUUUCAGAGAAAUUAAUUUCGAAAAUUUAAUCACUGUAUACUCUUAGCUGCAGUAUUUGAUUCUCGAUCUUAAAGGUUUAACGUUCAAAGAAUUAAAGAUAUAAACUUUGUUAAAGUCCAAAGUAUAAAUCUAUACAGAGUAUAUAUUAUUCUAAUAUUAGAGUGUAUUGUCUGAAUAUUAAUUUCUUGUACUGGCUGAUAAUUUAUCUAUCAGCUUAAAUGUUUGUUCGCCUUUGAUGUAACAAAAAUUUAAAUAUAGUCACUCCUAGAUUUACAUAUAUAUACACUGUGUGAAUUCUUCGACGAUUAAACUUCUACGUAGUUUUCAUCCACUCACAUUCAAAGACAAUGUCAAUAGCUGGCACUGAUAAAAUUCCACGAAUAAAUCUCUUAAUACCUACGAUUUAUUGCCCUUGACCAUUGCCUCAAAUUUAAAAUAAAUUUGCUCUGUUAUUUAUCCGAGAAUGAACUCGAGCAAACAUUCGUACUAUCGAAGAGUUGGAAAACUCCAGUCGACGAUAUCUUACAAUACUACCUCCCCUCGUUCCCCUACCUUUUUUUGUGCAAUUAUGCAAAAAUUGCACACAUCACGCGACUAUUGAAACAAGCUGUCACGAAUCAGCUGAUAGGAAUAAUUAUAUAUCGACGAUGGUAUUGUUUCAUAUUUAUAUGCUAUUGUUUCUUUGUCAGGCUCGAGAUACCUAGGUAAUUUGCGAAUUUAGAUAUUCCAGGGAUUUACUAUUAUUUAAUUGAACAUUGAUUUCAUUUAAUUGCGAAGCAAAUUAAAUAUUAAAUACAAAGAAGCCUCAACUGAGAUAUUCACUCAUUGAGACAAUCGCGUUCACAUUAAAUAUUCGAUGUUUCCUUAUUAUUUAGAAUUGUUCAAAUAUCAAACGUUACGUGAAAUAUGUAAAAAUAUCUUUAUCGUAGGAAUGUCAAUAAUUUGGUUCAAAUAUUGAAAAAUUUAGCAGCCUCAGUUAUUUUCAAUUAAGAAACGACCGGUAAAAUGGAAUUUUCUUAUAAAAAAUUCACAUAAAUUUUUACACGAUUUAUAGUUACAACGAUCGAUCGUUCUUUUGUAUUAUUAUAUUAUUAUUUUAAUAUUAAUUUUAGAUUACGUAUUAUGUAUCAUCCAUGUACUAAUACCCUAAUAUUUACGAAUUAAUAUUUGGAAAGUAACGAAGUACAGAGAUAGUUAAAUAGAUAAAUAAAUAUAUAUCGUACACUAUUAGUUAACAUUUACACGAGUUUAGUAUACUACGCCCUUGCAACAAGGGCGCACCUAGAUUAUGCGUGAUACGCAUUGGAGCAAGUAUUAUGAUUCUUGCGGUAGGUCGUGACUCGUUUCGUAACCAAAGACUUGCAGAGUUGUGUAUCGAUCGUUUGUUAGCCGGUACAACUCCUGGCAACCGUUUCCAUCGUGGAUUUGUUAGUCAUGGGACUCGAGGAUCCCGUGGAUAGCUCGUAGGAACAAUGGACACGGAUUGGUGGGACCUCGUGCCAGAUUUUCACAGAACCGCGCGUAUUCCUGAACCUCUGCUUGCUCUGGAUGGAAGGGUAUUUGUCAUCUAUUGCCAAUUAUCCUAUUUUAUUCUGCAAUUUUUAUUCAAUUGUUCGCUCGUUUUAUCACGUUCGUGUUUUUAAUUUAUCGAAUUUAUCUGAAGCCUUCUGUUCGUCUAAUAUUCAUUCGAUAAUCGACAGAUUUCAACGAAACUAGAUAGGAUUCUUUUUCUUCUUUCGCCACAAUACCUGUUUACCGAUAUUCGAAUCCAUCGUCGAGGCAACGUUUCGUGGUGUUCUUAUGACAUAAGCAAUUUCAUUGCUUCACUAAUUCCAGCAAUAAAUAGAGCAACUCAGAUCCUUAGAUUUAGUAAUUCGUGAUGUACUUGCAAUAGCCAUCUGAUUUGAAUAUACUGUGUUUUCACCAAGUCGAACAAUGCGAUCGAUCGACAAGGUAUUAACAGUCAUUCUCUUUUGGAAAAUAUUUCGAUUUUUCAUCAAACUUUGCAUCGGCAUAGUCAACCAUCGCGAAGCUGAACAUUUUGCCUCUAAGUGUUGUCGUUGCGUACACAAAGUAUUCUGUAGACACUUUCCAACUGGUGUCCGAGCAAACGGCAAAGCGACAAAGAUCAAUCGCGAAAUGUCAUCGGAUGUAAAUCUGGAAAUAUUUACAUACUAUGAAUCUUCUGACACCUCUUUUUUCCUCUAGAGUCAACAUUUUUCAUUUCGAUUCGCAAACACACGAUAAGAUAAGAUAAGGAGAGAUCCCAAAAGAUUUUAGUCGAGUCAUCGUCUGGUAGGUCUUUUCCUCGACAUCGAACAUCACUUUCGUCGAUCUCGAAAGGUUCUCCAUUCCCCAACUUUCGUGCCUUUGCUCGGUGCAUUGGUCCGUUACGAAAUUUCGAAAGUUCCUUUCUGGUUUAAUGGACCGUCAAUUGCAUAAGGAUCAACGUGACUUGUCGUUUCGUUUAUUCGACUUGGGAGAAAAGAUCGGUUAUUUCAAGUAACGUAACGAGAUUUUGCUGAUUACUUAUGCAGCGAGUUGUCAACAAGCAAAAUUGUCAGAGGCAUAAUUAGAAGUCAAUCACGAAAUCAUAACUAACUUGGUCAUAUUUAGAGCGUAGAUAUUUUCUACUAAUUCAAAUAAUUCAAAAAUGGAAGACAAUCAGAAGUAUGAUACUUGCAGAUAUUUUUCUCAAAUCCAAAUAUUUUUAUGAGAACAAGUGAAGAAAUGGAACCUGACUAAAGAUUUGCGUUGCCUUCUGGAUUUUUAGAUUUUUUCCUGUGUAUUCUUGUACCGUCCAAUUUCCUAUGAACGAAACAAUCAAAUAAAUAUCCUAAUAAUUCCAAUCUAGUAAUAAAUCGUUCUACCAAGCAUCGUACUAUUUUCUUUCAUUUUUCUUUUUUCUCUUUUUUAACGAAAGAUUCCGUUGACACUACUUUGGAUUCCAGACUAACCGGAUAGCGUAGGGUCAAAGCACUCUGAAUGUAUAGUAUUUUUCCAUCGACAACUGGGGUCGUUGACAAUGCUUCGAACGUACCAAGUAGACCAACCAUCGACUACGUCAGUUCACUUUUAUUAAUUACGAUAGGGGUCGAGCAUGGACGAACAUACACUUCCCUUCUCUGUUUCGUUUUAUUACGAAUCAAUAGCGAGUUUCAACUUUUCAAGUCGAUAAUUUUAAACAUCGAACCAGCGAUCGAACGUCAUAUUUCGUAAAACUUACGUAAAACUGUUUUACAUUGCAAAUUGACCGUUUUAAAUUUGCCCUCUGCUUCGCGACAUGCGCUGUUUUAUCGUGGAAAUAUACAGUGCCGAGUAAUUACGAUGAUAAAUAAUUUUACACGUGUUUUUCCUUCGCGACAGAGUGAAAGGAUCCUGGAAGGUGUUCCACAGGCGUGUAACAUAGUCCAAAACAAAUAGGAUUUUUGUCCACCAACUCGGGCAAACUGGUCGAGUUUCAUCGAUUAGAAUUUCAUGAGGCUCAAUUUAAAAGCUUGAAUGCUGGUCUAAUGUAGAAAUCUUUGCGAAUUAUUCUAAAAAUUAAAGGACUCUCUGAGAGCUAGUAGAGUUGCUACUUAAACUAUUUCUUAACGUACGUAGGUUUCCAAUUUUAACAAAAUUCCAUAGUAAAAUAAGUGGAAUUUAAAGGGAAAUCAUUCAAUAAUUUUAUUACAUUAUAUCCUGAUCCAGAGAUAUAAUAUUGCUAUGGAUUUACGACGUUUCAUAAUAAAAUAAACAGAUCCUUCUCACGCGAAAGAAUAUCUUUUCGUAUCCGUAUUUUACGUUAUAUUCGAAGCUAACAAAUUGCAAUGAUUCACUGACACCACAACGAC